AACGAACGCUGGCGGCAUGCCUAACACAUGCAAGUCGAACGAGACCUUCGGGUCUGGUGGCGCACGGGUGCGUAACGCGUGGGAAACUGCCCUUAGGUUCGGAAUAACUCCCCGAAAGGGGUGCUAAUACCGGAUAAUGUCUUCGGACCAAAGAUUUAUCGCCUUUGGAUGGGCCCGCGUUGGAUUAGCUAGUUGGUAGGGUAAAAGCCUACCAAGGCGACGAUCCAUAGCUGGUCUGAGAGGAUGAUCAGCCACACUGGGACUGAGACACGGCCCAGACUCCUACGGGAGGCAGCAGUGGGGAAUAUUGGACAAUGGGCGAAAGCCUGAUCCAGCAAUGCCGCGUGAGUGAUGAAGGCCUUAGGGUUGUAAAGCUCUUUUACCCGGGAUGAUAAUGACAGUACCGGGAGAAUAAGCUCCGGCUAACUCCGUG
rnacentral:rRNA from 1 species